GUGCUCACUUUGGUAGCACACAUACUAAAAAUAGAGCAAUACAGAGAUGAUUAGCAUGGUCCCUAUGUAAAGAUGACACAGAUUUGUGAAGCUUUCCACAUUUUG
ensembl:snRNA U6 U6 spliceosomal RNA